UACGUAGGGGGCGAGCGUUGUCCGGAUUUAUUGGGCGUAAAGGGCUCGUAGGCGGUUUGUCGCGUCGGGGGUGAAAACGCCGGGCUUAACUCGGUGCUUGCUUUCGAUACGGGCAGACUAGAGGCAUGCAGGGGAGAACGGAAUUCCUGGUGUAGCGGUGAAAUGCGCAGAUAUCAGGAGGAACACCGGUGGCGAAGGCGGUUCUCUGGGCAUGUCCUGACGCUGAGGAGCGAAAGUGUGGGGAGCGAACAGG
rnacentral:rRNA from 1 species